UCAUUCAGCGAGAUCAACCCGGGAAAAAUCGGUUGCGUAUUAUGUGGAGAAGAAUUCAUAGCAACAUUUUUCCGGGUGGUAAGGAUGCGAUGGAAUUCGGGCUAGGCUGAUAAUUUUAGAUAUUGCUUCCUCGAGAGUUCGUUAAAAAGUGGGUCAGGUCUGCCCCAAAGACAAGGCCCUUUGUCUAUUGAGUUGGUCCACGUGAUACGUUGUUUAGAUUAUAAACAGCUCGAGUGAUUAGUUAUUCCCUGCGUCCUGUGACAACAGGUCAUCAAUCAAAAAUAUUAUCAACAGUUGUAAAAAGUUUUGGUGUGCGGGGUGAUUGGGAAAAUUCACUGAUCAAAUUAUUUGACGAUUACCUAUCACAAUAGCACACCUCAAAACGUUACAGGAGGUGCUGAUGGAAUCGGUAUUCGAAGACCUGUAGCUCCAUUAUAUGGGAUUGAAGAACUUUCCGAUCUGGAUCCAAUGACAAUAUCAUACUCCCUCGCCAAUCGACUGGGACUAUCAAUCAUGAUCAUAAUUAUUGUCACGC